AAACCAGCACCUCAAGUGGUCAGGAGGAUUAUUGGGCCUAAAGCAUCCGUAGCCGGCUCUGUAAGUUUUCGGUUAAAUCCAUGUGCUCAACGCAUGGGCUGCCGAAAAUACUGCAUAGCUAGGGAGUGGGAGAGGUAGACGGUACUCGGUAGGAAGGGGUAAAAUCCUUUGAUCUAUCGAUGACCACCUGUGGCGAAGGCGGUCUACCAGAACACGUCCGACGGUGAGGGAUGAAAGCUGGGGGAGCAAACCGGAUUAGAAACCCGGGUAGUCC
rnacentral:rRNA from 1 species